rnacentral:rRNA from 1 species
CCCUUAGAUGUUCUGGGCUGCACGCGCGCUACACUGAUGCGUUCAACGAGUUUUUGACCUUGCCUGACACGGUUGGGUAAUCUUGUUAAAACGCAUCGUGAUGGGGAUAGAUUAUUGCAAUUAUUGAUCUUCAACGAGGAAUUCCUAGUAAGCGUGAGUCAUCAGCUCGUGCUGAUUACGUCCCUGCCCUUUGUACACACCGCCCGUCGCACCUACCGAUUGAAUGGUCCGGUGAAGCCUCCGGAUUGGCGCGCACCUCGGUGCCGCCGAGAAGUUGGCUAAACCUUACCAUUUAGAGGAAGGUGAAGUCGUAACA